UUGGGGUGACUCACCUCUGCUCCACAAGGCUAUCAUCCUCCAGCAGGUCAUGAUCCACAUGAAAAACUGAGGGAAGACAUCCAGGACCUGCUGGAGAGCACAUGGAAAGAAGUUGGGGCACAGAAAAGGAAAGCAGCAAGAGUCGGGCAGAGAUUGAUCCCCAAGGAACUUGGAAUACCACGGGAAAGGUUGAUCGUCCUCGAAGAGAGAGAGAAACAAAAGAAAAAUGAAAAAAGGAAAGAAAUUUUCUCCACAAAGACUCAGAAAAGCUACAAUCCUAAGAAGUCAAAACUAUAAUGGGCUUGAGUUGAAGACUCCAAGGGUCUUUACAGUUAUGUGACCUGUCCAAGGUUACACAGCUCACCUUUUCAUUUUGCACUGGGCCCAAGUUAUGUAGCCAGCCUGCUUAGAGAUCUCUACUUACCCCAGUUUUCUGAUUUAUAAAACAAAGAUAAUAAUAAUAUUGUUAAAUUAAAUGAAGCCUAAAGCUGCCUCCCUAUGUAUUUUUAAUUUGGCCUAAAGGUUUCUUCGUACAGAGUGAACUAUAACCUGACUAGAUGUGUGAUCUACUCUUGUGCCAAUCAUCAAGUUUUAACCAAUCGAAGGGAGCCAACUGCUUAAACCAUGUUCAAAUAAGGCAAAUGUCCAGCUGUAACCACUUC
rnacentral:lncRNA from 1 species